rnacentral:sRNA from 1 species
UGGUAGAUGCACCCUGAUUUCUAACCCUCGGCCUGACGGUCGGGGGUUUUUUGU